ensembl:lncRNA
AAAUAAAUACUUCUCUAAAAUGCGCAAGGUUUUUGCUAUUAAGUUUUCUGUUUAUUUUUCUAACAUACAGUCCUUAGGAACUUUGGUGUAUUCAGCAAUUUUCACUGCAUUUAAUAUAUGGACAGACCAAAAUUUGUAAAAAUACUGGAGUGAUUCACGAAGUUUGUUAUACAUUUUGACAAGGGUUGUGCAGACAUCACUAAAAGCAACAAGGCAACCAUGACUUAAGAAGUAUUCAAAUGCUUUGUCUAAUGUUGCUCAUGAAUGUCUCCUGACCAGACUGCAAGGUCGGACCUGAAACACAAGAACUGUCCCCUGUUUGUAGACUGCAUGUAAUCAGGUCACUGUCAAGUAGCAUUUCUGGCUACUUGAGUUUCCAGUCUCUCUAGCAUCGUUACAUUUUGGG